rnacentral:tRNA from 2 species
GUGCCCGUAGCUCAACCGGAUAGAGUGUCUGACUACGAAUCAGAAGGUUGGGAGUUCGAGUCUCUCCGGGCACGCCA